UACGGGGGGGGCAAGCGUUGUUCGGAAUUACUGGGCGUAAAGGGCUCGUAGGCGGCCAACUAAGUCGGAUGUGAAAUCCCCAGGCUUAACCUGGGAACUGCAUCCGAUACUGGAUGGCUUGAAUUCGGGAGAGGGAUGCAGAAUUCCAGGUGUAGCGGUGAAAUGCGUAGAUAUCUGGAGGAAUACCGGUGGCGAAGGCGGCAUCCUGGACCGACAUUGACGCUGAGGAGCGAAAGCUAGGGGAGCAAACGGGG
rnacentral:rRNA from 1 species